GGGAAGUAAAAGUCGUAACAAGGUUUCCGUAGGUGAACCUGCGGAAGGAUCAUUACCGAGUUUUCGGGCUUCGGCUCGACUCUCCCACCCUUUGUGAACGUACCUCUGUUGCUUUGGCGGCUUCGGCCGCCAAAGGACCUUCAAACUCCAGUCAGUAAACGCAGACGUCUGAUAAACAAGUUAAUAAACUAAAACUUUCAACAACGGAUCUCUUGGUUCUGGCAUCGAUGAAGAACGCAGCGAAAUGCGAUAAGUAAUGUGAAUUGCAGAAUUCAGUGAAUCAUCGAAUCUUUGAACGCACAUUGCGCCCCUUGGUAUUCCGGGGGGCAUGCCUGUUCGAGCGUCAUUACAACCCUCAAGCUCUGCUUGGAAUUGGGCACCGUCCUCACUGCGGACGCGCCUCAAAGACCUCGGCGGUGGCUGUUCAGCCCUCAAGCGUAGUAGAAUACACCUCGCUUUGGAGCGGUUGGCGUCGCCCGCCGGACGAACCUUCUGAACUUUUCUCAAGGUUGACCUCGGAUCAGGUAGGGAUACCCGCUGAACUUAAGCAUAUCAAUAAGCGGAGGA
rnacentral:rRNA from 1 species